GGAGUCUGGGCCGUGUCUCAGUCCCAUUGUGGCUGAUCAUCCUCUCAAACCAGCUACUGAUCGUCGCCUUGGUGGUCCAUUACACCCCCAACUAGCUAAUCAGAUGCAGACUCAUCCUGAAGCGAUAAAUCUUUCACGAAUAGUAUCUCAACUACGCGCAUAUGGGGUAUUAGCAGAAGUUUCCCUCUGUUGUCCCCCUCUUCAGGGCAGAUUCUCUACACAUUACUCACCCGUCCGCCACUUUCCAUACACCGAAGUGUAUUUCUCGUUCGACUUGCAUGUAUGAAGCACGCCGCCAGCGUUCGUCCUGAGCCACUGAUCAAACUACU
rnacentral:rRNA from 1 species